GUGUAUGUAUUAUUAAUUAAGUCCUUUUGAUCUAAUGUGUUGUUCAGCUCCACAAUAUCCUUGUUGAUACUUUGUCUGGGAGAUCUAUCCAUUGUUGACAGUGGGGUGUUAAAAUCCCCUACUAUAAUUGUGUUGCUGUGUAUAUCUUUCUUGAAGUCCUCCAAGAUUUUU